rnacentral:rRNA from 1 species
UACGGGGGGGGCAAGCGUUGUUCGGAAUUACUGGGCGUAAAGGGCUCGUAGGCGGCCAACUAAGUCGGAUGUGAAAUCCCCAGGCUUAACCUGGGAAUUGCAUCCGAUACUGGAUGGCUUGAAUCCGGGAGAGGGAUGCGGAAUUCCAGGUGUAGCGGUGAAAUGCGUAGAUAUCUGGAGGAACACCGGUGGCGAAAGGCGGCAUCCUGGACCGGCAUUGACGCUGAGGAGCGAAAGCCAGGGGAGCAAACGGGG